UAUGGGUUUCGGUGGGAUUUCUAUUAAGCUUUUAUUUUAAAGAGAAAGGUGUAUGUUUGUUAAACAAUUGGGAAUCGAGACAUUUUUUCAUCAACAUCGUUUCCAUCGUUUCAUCUCCAAUUGGGAAUCGUUCAAUCUUUUCAUCUCCAUCUUCUCACGAUCAAAUUUUCAGAAAAGAGAGUAAAAUCAAGUUCAAUACUUCUGCAAUCAACCGAAUCUUGAAGAGAAAACAAAAAAUUGUGAAAUGAGAGAAGCUCCGAUUAGUCGAAUCAAUUGGGUUUGUCUAUGAAGAUGAUGGUGCUAUCAAUCGGUUGAUUCAGUUUUCACCCAUGGCUUUAGCGAUCCGAUUUAUGUAAACCAAUUGGAUUGUACAUGUGAAAGCCUAUACUAUCAACCGAAGGAUAUAUAUAAAGACAUCAUGAUAUUCGUAAGAUAAGUAGUUGUUUCUUAAAAUGUUUUUAAUUGUUUUUUAUUGGAAUAUUACAUCUUUACUGAUUAAUUUGUUUUGCAAUUUAAUCCAGGAAAUGAAAUGAGAAGUACUUCCAGUAACCCAGUUUAUUACAAUAGAGUAUAAUGACAUGAAGCCAUAAACAGAGAUUGAUUAACGUUUUUUGGAGGAAGACUUAUUGAUAAGAGAGGAUAAGUUUUAGCAGAGAAAAAAUUGAAGCUUCGUCAAUGACCUUCUCAAAGUCAACCAGUUGGAGGAACAUGUCAUUAGUCAAGGACGCACAUGGCACCAUGGAGGUGAUGUUGAUCAACGUCAUACGAUCUGUGGUAGGGACGUUCUCGGCAGCCAUUGGAGAAGGUUUGAAA